UCUUAGUCUACAACCAUGCAUGCCACGCUGAACUCGCCCGACCUUGGAAGCUCAGCAGGGUUGAGCCUGGUCAGUACUUGGAUGGGAGACUGUCUGGGAAAUACAGUAGUCUUAAGAC
rnacentral:rRNA from 1 species